rnacentral:lncRNA from 1 species
GCCCCUUAGGAGGGGCAAUGUUCCUCCAGGGAGAAGAAAAUUCCUGAUCAGCCUGCAGACUGGAAAGAUCUCUCCCAUUUCCCUGCACUGGACAGUCAGCACACAGGGACAGGAGUUCUUAGGAACAAAUGGUUUCCCUGUGAGAGGCCCAAAGUGUCCAAAAACAAAGUGACCUCAUGGAAGAGAAACCUCAAACCUACAACAAUCUUGCCCCUUUAAGCCCCCAAAAUGCCCCUUGGAUGAGGAGUGAUCCCAUGAGUGUUGAAGGAAGCUUUGCCGUUACAGGACAAUCAAGGUACCAGGUUAUCAUCAAAUCCAAAUCCUGUCCUUUGUAAUUAUUAUUACACCAAUCAUUUUUUUUUCCCCUUUGAGAACCAACACUUUUCCAAAAAUAUGAAUCAUUUGGCAGAAAAUCUCUCAAAAACAGUCUUCACCUCUCUACUUUUUCAAGCAAGGGACAAGACCACUUUUUCAUUUUAAUCCACUAUCUUUAGGAACAUGCAAUGUAGCAUGGAGGGAUGACUCAGAGCUGGGCCUCCUGUUUGGGUUUUUGUCCUCUUCCCUGAUGUGGAGCACUGGAUGUGACAGGCUUGAGACACAACAAGUUCACCAACCUUGGAAACAGGCAGACACUCAGGACUCACCAGUUUGGCAGAGUGACCACAUACUACUUAGGGACAUGUGUUCUUUGGUUGGUGCCCUCGGAGUGAGACCCUCCCUCAGCCAUGUAGCCUUAAGCAAAUUACUGUACUGAAUCUCAGUUUCUUCUUCUGUUCAACGGGGAUAAAAAUAGUAGCUACAUCAAUUGGGGGGGGUCGUGAAUCUUAAAUAUGAACAUUUAGAUGCUUAGCAUGGCACAGGGUGGUGAGCAAGGGCUCAUGAGCGUUAACUGCUGUUAUUACGAUGACUCCCAGCAAGAAAGGUCCCCGGGAGACCGCCUGCCCUCCUGCAUCACUGGUUACACCCACGCUCUGUGUCUUUUCUUCCACCCAUUAAACAAAACUGAUAGAAGUAGCCUGAACCGCCGGUGACUAGAGCCCUCCCAGGGUUUUCCCCCAUAAUCUGGUGAAGCUCCCAAAUAAGCGGCUUCUGCCAAAAGAGAAUUUCCCAUCAUUCUGUGAAAGCCAAUCCAGUCAUUCCCGAGAGCCUCGUUUCUUAACACGGCCGAAUGCCCAGCUGGACCGCACAUGUGCACCUCUGCGAGCCGCAGCCGCAGCAGCAUCAGCGCCGGCAGACACACCAGCAGACACACCAGGAGCAGGCGCGGGCGCCGGGGUCCUCUGUCAGACCAAGUUGUCAGGCCUUGGCUGGUGAUCCCUGGUGACAGAAGCCCGCAGAGCCUCUCAUUUGGCACCAUUUCAGGCACUAAAAAGAAAAGAGCUCGGAGCGCUGGCAGCCGCAUUGAUCUGAUGAGGAUUGGGGAGACCGUGCUGCUCUCCACGUGGUUAUUUUCUAUCGUUUGUAUCCUGUAGGGGGUUAAUUAACAUCCUCAACGGUGUGCUAUUCUGGCUGUUUCACCACUGGGGGAUGUAAUUUCAGGUCACUCCGAAGUUAAAUGAAGACAACAACAGCAGCUGCAGCCUUUGUUGAGGUCCAGAUUGCGAGCACGGCUGAGCGGGCCCCAGCCCUGCACUUCAUUACGUGUAAGCACCAUUAAUAACCAACAAUGGGUUCUCGAAUCAGCGGACAAGUGUUCCCCCCCCCCCUCCCCGGAGCUCGUGCCCCUGGUUAGGGCUUAAGUCUUUGUGCAUCUUCCUGGCUAACACAUACGUCCCCAGGGACUCGCUGCCUCAAAAUGAUAUUCCCAACAUAAGUGCCAGACAGGGGCCUAUCUGCCAAUCUUUUCUAUUUUAUGUCCCCAGGACUGUUCUUUCUCCACCAAACCUCCACAGCAUAGCAGCAGUUGUAGCCCACCCUAUCCAGCAUUGCUUUCUUGUAAAGUUGGGGGAUGGGAGGGUGUGUGUGUGGAGUUUUUCUAAAACAAGUCAUAUUUUACAUGCAUUAGGUAACCUUGAAAUUGUAUUAGUUCUCUAUGGCUACAUUAAAAAUUACCCCCAAAGCAUAGUGGAUAACACAAUCAUAAAUAUUUCUUACCCUUACAAUAUCUGUGGGGUCGGGGGUUCAGGCUUUCCUUAGCUGGGUCCCUCGUGAGGUCAGAGUCAAAGUGUCAGCUAGAGUUGCUGUCGCUUGAAAGGCUCACCCACCUGGUGGGUGGGCUGGUGCUGUCGUGUGGGUGGGGGCCCCACUUUCUCUUCACAUGGGCCUCUCCGGCUAUGGGAAUGUCCUCUCAACAAGGCCACAAACUUCUCCCAGAGUGAGUGAGCCAUAAAGGGAGCCAGGUGAAAGUCAUCAUUUUUAUGACUCAGCCUCAGAAGUCACGCUCUCUUCAUUAGAAGAGAGUCAUUCAGUUGGGGAGGGAAUUAACACCAUUUGUUUUUUUUUUUUAAUUGAGGUAUAGUUGAUUUACAAUAGGAGUUUCAGGUAUAUAGCAUAGUGAUUCCCAAGUUUUAAAGGUUAUACUCCAUUUAUAGUUAUCAUAAAAUAUUGGCUAUAUUCCCAGUGUUGUACAAAAUCUCUCUCUCUCUCUCUUUUUUUUUUUUGGUCUUUUUUGUCUUUUUAGGGCUGCACCUGGGGGCAUAUGGAGGUUCCCAGGCUAGGGGGUCUAAUCGGAGCUACAGCUGCCAUCCUGUGCCACAGCAUAGCAACACCAGAUCCGAGCCACAUCUGCAACCUGCACCGUAGCUCACGGCAACACCAAAUCCCUAACCUUCUGAGCAAGGCCAAGGAUCGAAUCCGCAACCUCAUGGUUUUAAGUUGGAUUCAUUUCCACUGCACCAGGACGGGAACUCCCAAAAUAUCUUUGUAGCUUAAUUUACAUCGAAUCAUUUGUACCUCUUAAUCCCCUGCCCCUAUAUUGCCCCUCCCCACUUCCUUCUCCCCACUGGUAACCACUAGUUUGUUCUCUACAUCUGUGAAUCUGUUUCUUAUUAUAUUCAUAGUUUACUUUCUUUUUUAGAUUCCAAAUACAAGUGAUAUCAUAUAAUAUUUGUCUUUCUCUAUCUGACUUAUUUCAUUAAGCAUAAUGCCUCCAAGUCCAACUGUUUGUUACAAAUGGCAAAAUUUCAUUCUUUUUUAUGGCCGAGUAGUAUUCCAUUGUGUAUAUAUACCACACCUUCUUUAUUCAUUCAUCUGCUGAUGGACAUUUAGGUUGCUUCCAUGUCUUGGCUGUUGUAAAUAGUGCUUCCAGAACACUGGGGUGCCUACAUCUUUUUUAAUUAAUGUUUUUGUUUUCCUUGAAUAUAUACCUACGAAUAGAAUUGCUGGAUCAUGUGGUAGUUCUAUUUUGACUUCUUUGAGGAACUUGUAUACUGUUUUCCACAGUGGCUGCACCAAUCUACAUCCCCACCAAUAGCAUAUUAGGGUUCCUUUUUUUCCACAUCCUCCCUAACAUUUGUUAUCUGUGUUCUCGUUGAUGAUAGCCCUUCUGGCAGGUGAGAGGUGAUAUCUCCUUGUGACCUUGAUUUGCAUUUUUAUGAUGAUUUUGAUAUGGGGCAUCAUUUCCUGUGAAUGAAUUCCACUUUGGAAGGGAGCAGUAUCACAGAAUUAGUGAGUUUAUUUUAAAAUCACCAUAGACAUUUAGGGGGUGAAUCACUCAUUCCCUUAACAAAUAUUUAUUGAGAACCUACUAUAUGCACUCACUGUUCUAGAUGUUCAGGAUACAUCCUAGACAAAACAGACCAAAGUCCCUGCCUGCCCUUGUCAAGUUAAAUUCUCCUGGAGGGAGACAGAAAAUAAACAAUAAGCAGAAUAAAUACAUUUUAAAGUCUGCUGCAGUUUAAGUACCCUGUGGGGGGAAAGGCUGAGGGGAAGAGGGCUCUGGAAUCCUAGAGUAAGGUUACGUUUUAAAUAGGGCCAUCAGACUUGUCCUGUCCAAGCAGGUAGAGUGGGGCCGAUGAUGGUUUAGAGGGGUGAUGGGCCACCUUGGACAUGGCCUUGCAUGGAGCCCAGUCCCUGUGAACCCUGAUCAUUGUUACAAUGGUCCCUCAUGGGUGCAGAUAAGAAGAGUUUCCCUCAAUUCGGCAUUCCUCACCCCUAGACCACCUGGGAGGAAGUGUCCCCAUGGCCAUCCCCAGCUGCAAAUGACCUUCGUGACUGCUCAGACAGAGCUUCUGUGUCACACUGAGACUUGAGGCAGGCAGCCUGUGUGCACAACACAGCACAUCUGGCCAGGGGGAGGAGAGGACGGGACGGUGAGUCAUUCCGUCCUGAAGUGAUCACAGUUGGAGGAGCAGCACUUGUGCAAUGUCGAAUGUGUAAUUUUAGUGUUUCAAUUCAAUCAUGGUGUUUCCACAACUGGAGGCGAGCUCCAAACCACACCCAACAGGAGCUGCCCAGCCCAGGGCACGCCAGGACUUUGGAGGCUUUUGAAUCAUGAAGGAAGGGAACUGGAAGGAGAAGAUAUUCCAGGCUUGAAUGUGGCCAAAAAGGGGUCAGUGACCCUUGCUGACAGGCUUCCUGGGCCUGGAGGAGCUAGGGGUGAAGCAGAGUAGGGCAGGUGCCAGGGGAUUCCAGAACUGGGGGCACCCAGUUCUAAUUCUGCCAUCCCGGAAAGCUAGAGGGGCCCCAGGGCAGGUGGAAAGGCAGCGGGUGUUGGCCCAGAGAUGUGUAAGCCUUAUUUGAGGGGCAGCUACUGACCUAGAUGGUGUGGUGACUGACACCACUGGGACACAGGCCGCCCCUCAGUUUCCCAUGCAGCAUCCCUGAUGGAGAGGGACCCCAUUCUGAGGAAAGAGAGUGUAGAGGUACACAGGGGGCAGUGGUUCAGUAUCUGUGCAAUGCCUGCACAUGGAGCAAGAGAUGUGCAGGCCUGACAAGGUCACUGGCCCAGCCCAGAGGACCUUGCCCAAAGAGGGCCGUGAGGAGAGGAGGAAUGAGAAAGCUUGAUCCCUGGGGGUGCUGUGGUCACCAGGUGCAGAAGAGCAGGCAGCAAACACCAGGAUGACUGAUGGGGACUUGAAGGAGCCCUGUGGGUACCAGAGCCGUCAUCUACAGCUGCAUCCGAAGCCCACUGAGGCCAGGAGUACGAGGCCCAGAAGCUGAGUUACAGAAAGCAGAACAUUUGUUCUCACUCAGAGGACAAUAUCUGAGGGGUUAAAAGGCAGAGGCUGGGUAGGAGUGGACAUGCAGGUUUGUAUCCUGGUGAUACCACUUACUAGCUGUGUCAGAGACGUCUCUUACUUAACCUAUCCGCAGCCUCAGCUUCCUCACCUGUCAACCUCACACAACUGGUGAGACUUAAGUGAGAUCAAACACUUAACACAAUUCCUGGUUCAUAGAAAUAGUCCACAAAUAGCUGCUAUUUUUAUUGUGACUAUUUUUACAAAUGUCGUGGACAGCUGCUGCGGGGGCUUUGUUUGCUUUUGUUGCCUGGCAUCUCUUCCUUUGGAAUUGCCCCUCCCUAUCCCAGCCCCUUGGUUCUGCUGUCCAGCUAAUCCUAGCACUUGGACCCCUGCUGACAGGAGAUGGGCAAGUGAGACCACGUUGGGCCAAUCAGAUUCUCUCUCCCGGGGACUGGAACUCUCAGUGCGGUCAUGCAGGAAGGCAGUUAGCGCUGAGUCAUCCUGCGACAGGGAAUUUCCUGGAGCGGCUCUUGCCAUCAUCCCUCCCGGGUCUGGUAUGAAACUCACUCUUCCAGUGUCUGAACUUGGCCAGUAUCGCCCCGGUGAGCCCCUCACUGCAGCCAAGUAACCCUCCUGCCAAAACGGCCACUGGGCGAGACGUGUCUGGAGAAAUGGCCAUCUGAAUGGCAGUGUGGGGAGGAGGCUGGGAAAGAGAACAUGGCCUUCCCACCUCCCCCCUUCCCUCUUCACUUCAGGCCAUCAAGAGGGCUUCUCUACCCUUUCCUUUUCUUGCCUUUUUUAAUUUAUUUUUGUGUUAAGUUGAGAGUCAAAUAGUGAAUAGAGUUGGGAUGACUGAGUAGCCAUCUGGAAAAGGUGAGGUUGGAUCAAUACAUGAGGAUACAUUCAAAAUGGAUUGAAGAUUUAAAUGCAGAAAAUAAGAACUUACAGUCAUGAGGAGAAAACACAAAUGAAUUCCUUUAUAAUUUUUGAGUGGGGAGGGUCUUUCUAAUUAUGACUCAGAAUCCAGAAUCUAUCAGAGAAAAUAUUUAUAAAUAUGACUACAUAUCCAUCAGAAACUUAGCCUGAAAGAGUAGCAAAGACAAAUGACAAACUGGAAAAAAUAUUUGCAAUAUAAAGGAUUAAUUUCCCUAAAAUAUGAAGAACUUCUAGAAAUCAAGAAGAAAAAGAUUUAAAGAAAAUAGGAAUGUGGGUAAAGGACAUAAUCAGAGCAUUCAGAGAAAAGGAAAUAUAAAUGACUCAAAAAUUUAGAAGAUCCUUAAUCUCACUUUUAAUAAGAGCAGUCAUAUUGAUAUCGGGCAGAUUGACAAAGACUUAAAAGUUUGACAGCACCUUGUUCUGAUGGGGCUGUAGCAAAACACCCACUCUCACACAAUUCUUGUGGGAGAAUACGAUGAUACAACACAACCCUUAUGGGGAGCAAUUAGGUGUUCUCUAUCAAAAAUACAUUUGCCCUCUGACCUCUGGAAAUUGAUCCUCCAGCUAUAUCCGCACGCAAAUGAAAUAACAUAUGUACAAAGUUAUUCAUUCCUGCAGACUAUUAUAUUUGGAGUGGCGGAGCAAUGAGAUCUUGCUGUAUAGCACAGGAAACUAUGUCUAGUCACUAGUGAUGGAACAUGAUGGAGGAUAAUGUGAGAAAAAGAAUAUGUAUGACUGGCUCACUUUGCUGUACAGUAGAGAUUGACUGAACACUGUAAAUGAACUAUAGUGCAAAAAAUAAAAAUCUUAUAUAAAAAAUCCCAAAGGUGUUCUUUCCAACAUAGCAGAAUACUGGGAAUACCUUUAGUGACUAGUUUGGUUUAUUUUAAGCCAAAAUUUGUUGUUGUUGUUUUUUUAAAUCCAUCUGCUAUCUACUCUAUUCCCAUUUCCCAGUUCUGAAUUACCAGAGGCUUUAAAUUUUUUAGUUGAUUUUUCAGGAAUUUAUUAAUUUACUUCUUUUUAAUACUUAUUUCUUGAUUUUCAGUUUAAGCAUUAUCUGCUGACUUCCUACUGAUGAAGAGAGGUAGUUAGCUUUACUAUGUAUCUCCCACUCAUAAUGCACACACAGGGAGCUAUUCACUAUCCUCCUUCAUUUUUCCAAAGGUUACAUUGUGAUUUUUGUUAAACUAAUAUUCAGUAUUUUGAGUAUUAUUACUGUGCAAAUAUUGCUUAUAGUUGAGACAUAGGUAUGGGAUGAUUAAAAUUCCUUUCUUGAACAUUUAAAAUUUCUUUUCUGGAGUUAAUAAUUGCCUCGUUUUUCACUGGACCAUUUCAUUUUCAUUUGACCCUUUUGGGUAUAUUUAUCAAUAAUUCAUUCCCUAAAUGUCAUGUAUGUCAUACAUUUGAGAUCCUCCAUCGGUUCUACUUUUUCCUAGAGAUACUGCUAUGGCAGCCCUUCGUGUUCUUGCUCUACUCUGCACUGAUUUUCUUCUGGGCCUGUGGCAUAGCUGUCUUCUUAAAACCUGUCUUUAUUGUCACCAAGAAUUUCCUUUGCUCACUCUCUUUCAUGUGUUGGAUCCAUUGUGGCCUGGAUCUCAAGUCUCCCAGAUAGCUUACUCAUUUUAGUAAAGUACAUCCUCACAGAUUCUUAAGAAAAAGUGCAUAGAAAAAAAACUGAGGCCCUUCAUGUCUGGAAAACACCUUUGUCAUACACUCACAUUUGGUGUUAGUUUGGCUAUACAAUUGGCUCUCCAUAUCCAUGGAUCCUGCAUCCUCAGAUUCAACCCACUCUGGAUGGAAAAUAUUCAGAAAAAAAAAAAAAAAA